AUGAACAAAGCAGCACGUCGUCUAAGUAUCUCAUCUUCGGCCGCCGCCGUCGGAAUCCAGCUCUGCAACGCACUACCAUGUCACCACUUAAAGAUGUGGCUCGAUCUCGGCGGAAUCAGGCCUCAACCUAUUCAGGUGGGGUAUUCCGGCGUGAUCUUCACGAGGCAUGGAGUGUUCUUCUUCGCCUGCGGCGUGGUCGUCCUCUGCAUAUUGUAUUGUUGCAGGAGUAGUACCUUUCAAAAAAGAGAAGAGAAAGGUGUCGCCGGGCACCUGCAGCGCCUCACCAGUGCCCCAUAUUGGCUUCGCCUAGCCAGGCUCCUCUGA
rnacentral:rRNA from 1 species